GAACCCGCAGGCGAGUCGGGAAUGCAGGAUGGAGACGGGACCAGUGAGGAGCCUGUGUCGUGUGAAGAGCCCCCGGUCAAACCAGAGACGCUGGAUGAAGAUGAGGCAGCUGAUGAUAUGUUGUAUGACAUGCUCCGGUUAAACAUGGCGGCCGGAGGCGGGGCGAGCGACGAGGGUGAGCCGCUGUUGGUGGAGGAGCGGGCAGUCAAGUCGGAGGUGUCGGACGCGGCG